rnacentral:misc_RNA from 1 species
GAAAUGCGAUAAGUAAUGUGAAUUGCAGAAUUCAGUGAAUCAUCGAAUCUUUGAACGCACAUUGCGCCCGCCAGUAUUCUGGCGGGCAUGCCUGUUCGAGCGUCAUUUCAACCAUCAAGCCCCCGGCUUGUGUUGGGGACCUGCGGCUGCCCGCAGGCCCUGAAAAACAGUGGCGGGCUCGCUGUCACACCGAGCGUAGUAGCAUACAUUCUCGCUCAGGGCGUGCUGCGGGUUCCGGCCGUUAAACGACCUUCAUAACCCAAGGUUGACCUCGGGUCAGGUAGGAAGACCCGCUGAACUUAAGC